rnacentral:rRNA from 1 species
UAGGGAAUUUUGCGCAAUGGGCGCAAGCCUGACGCAGCAACGCCGCGUGUGGGAUGAAGGCCUUCGGGUCGUAAACCACUGUCGGAGGGGACGAAUGGCUCUGCGGUUAAUACCCGCGGGGCGUGACGGUACCCUCAAAGGAAGCACCGGCUAACUCCGUGCCAGCAGCCGCGGUAAUACGGAGGGUGCAAGCGUUGUUCGGAAUUACUGGGCGUAAAGCGCGUGUAGGCGGCUUGGCAAGUCGGAUGUGAAAUCCCCGGGCUCAACCCGGGAACUGCAUCCGAAACUGUUUCGCUAGAGUCUCGGAGAGGAAGGCAGAAUUCCCAGUGUAGGGGUGAAAUCCGUAGAUACUGGGAGGAAUACCGGCAGCGAAGGCGGCCUUCUGGACGAUGACUGACGCUGAGACGCGAAAGCGUGGGGAGCAAACAGG